rnacentral:rRNA from 1 species
UGGGGAAUUUUGGACAAUGGGCGAAAGCCUGAUCCAGCAAUGCCGCGUGUGUGAAGAAGGCCUUCGGGUUGUAAAGCACUUUUGUCCGGAAAGAAAUCCUUGGCUCUAAUACAGUCGGGGGAUGACGGUACCGGAAGAAUAAGCACCGGCUAACUACGUGCCAGCAGCCGCGGUAAUACGUAGGGUGCAAGCGUUAAUCGGAAUUACUGGGCGUAAAGCGUGCGCAGGCGGUUUGCUAAGACCGAUGUGAAAUCCCCGGGCUCAACCUGGGAACUGCAUUGGUGACUGGCAGGCUAGAGUAUGGCAGAGGGGGGUAGAAUUCCACGUGUAGCAGUGAAAUGCGUAGAGAUGUGGAGGAAUACCGAUGGCGAAGGCAGCCCCCUGGGCCAAUACUGACGCUCAUGCACGAAAGCGUGGGGGAGCAAACAGGAUUAGAUACCCUGGUAGUCCACGCCCUAAACGAUGUCAACUAGUUGUUGGGGACUUCAUUUUCCUUAGUAACGUAGCUAACGCGUGAAGUUGACCGCCUGGGGAGUACGGUCGCAAGAUUAAAACUCAAAUGAAUUGACGGGGUCAUAGCUGUUUCCU